UUUUUUUUUUUAAGGGGUAACAAGGGCCCGGGGGAGAGAGAGACACAGAGAAAGAGACAGAGAGAAAGGGGGAGUGUGUUUGAGGGGAGCGGAUUAAAGGGAGUUUUGAACCCGGCUCCAGGUCCCAGAGAGUUUUGCAAAAGCCCCGCUGAAAAGGACCCAGCUUGGCCCACCCAGACACACCUGGCUUUCUUUCCAUCCGGGUCCCUGGAAGCUCAGGAAGAGGCCUGGUGCUUUCUAGGGGUGUUGAGAAAGACAGGGGACCCCACUAGAGCUUUUCCAAAGUUCUCCUCAGGGCCACAAACCUGAUGACCGCCACAUAGAGCCAGACCCUUGGCCUGUGUAGUUUUUUAAAAUUUUACUGAUUUAUUGACGGAUUGAUUUUUUUUUUUUUUUUUUUAAGGGUAACAAGGGCCCGGGGGAGAGAGAGACACAGAGAAAGAGACAGAGAGAAAGGGGGAGUGUAUUUGGGGGGAGCGGAUUAAAGGGAGUUUUGAACCCGGCUCCAGGUCCCAGAGAGUUUUGCAAAAGCCCCGCUGAAAAGGACCCAGCUUGGCCCACCCAGACACACCUGGCUUUCUUUCCAUCCGGGUCCCUGGAAGCUCAGGAAGAGGCCUGGUGCUUUGUAGGGGUGUUUGAGAAAGACAGGGGAUCCCAGAAGCCUGGUCCCAAGGCUAAAGACUUUCCCAGAUUGCCCUUUCCACAGGCCCAAAGCAUGGGCGCAGAAAGAUGCCUAUUGCUCAAAGUUUUUCUGUUGCAAGUCCCAGGACCAAAUUGGGGGGGGGGGGGGGGGUAAGGGGGGGAAGGAAGAGGGAGAGGAAGAGAGAGAGUAAGGGGGGGUGGGGGGUGGGGGGAGAGGAGCACUUCCUUUCAGAAGGAGAAAGAGAGGUGUCCACCUUUUCCAGCCAGAUCUAAGAGCCUUUUCCAAGGUGGCUUUGAGUUAUAUAUUCUCCCAAUUCCUUACUUUCUUCUCUCCCCGCCCUCUCUUCCUCAGCAGCAACCGUAGCGAGCAAGAUCACAACAACUACAGGGAACAAAACCCACAGAAGCAAUCACAACAAAGCUUGGCCCGCCUCCCGCAGAUUGUGGUCGGCACCUAGAACCAGCGGGACUUCCUGUAGUUUUGUUUUUUUUUUUUUUUUUUUUUUUUUUUGGGGGGGGGGGGGGAAUCCCUUGGCCAGCUGGAGGGAGCAAAGGGAAGAAUAGGGAAAUAAACCAACCCUUUUUUCUCCCUUAAGACAUUCAUUGUUCUCCAGUCCUGGAGUAAUCAGUCAACUUAAUCUCUAGCCCCUAGGCUACACCUAAUAGCAAAGUUCUAAAUCAGGGGUAAUUCUCCCUUUGUUACAAUGCCUGAAUGACAGGUAGCAAGCAUUGAAUAUAUACUUAUGUGCUUAAUAUAACACUGUAGUACUAUGUAAUAUAUCUACUAGACAUAUAAUACUACACUGUGACAUAGUAAUAGAACACUAUACUGAAUGUCCCCACCCCCCCCUCCAGUUUACAUAUCUAAUACCAGAAUCCACAAGCUAAAAAAAAAAAAAAAAAAAAAAAAAAAAUUAAAAUUUUUGUUCAAUUGAUUAUUUUGAGUACCACUACUAGGACCCCUGCCUACACAAUCUCUUGCUGGAAAAUACUCUCUCCCCAUUCUUCCGUUCCCCUCCUCAGAGCCCUUAAACUGAAGGAUCCCCAGGCUGGAAGGAGGAAAAAAAAAAAAAAAAAAGUAAAACAAA